UCCCACUUGUCAUGGGCAGUUUCUUUAGAGUCCCCAGCAUAACCUGAUGGUAACUAAAGAUGAGGGUUGCGCUCGUUGCGGGACUUAACCCAACAUCUCACGACACGAGCUGACGACAGCCAUGCAGCACCUGUCUCCGAUCCAGCCGAACUGAAGCUCUCAUUACAAGAGCGGCGAUCGGGAUGUCAAGAGCUGGUAAGGUUCUACGCGUAGCCUCGAAUUAAACCACAUGCUCCACCGCUUGUGCGGGUCCCCGUCAAUUCCUUUGAGUUUUAAUCUUGCGACCGUACUCCCCAGGCGGGGUGCUUAACGCGUUAGCUACGUCACCGAAACUAAUGUUCCAACGACUAGCACCCAUCGUUUAGGGCGUGGACUAC
rnacentral:misc_RNA from 1 species